AGCUUGCUCCCCUUGAUGUUUAGCGGCGGACGGGUUUAGUAACACGUUGGGUAACCUGCCUGUAAGACUGGGAUAACUCCGGGAAACCGGGGCUAAUACCGGAUGGUUGUUUGAACCGCAUGGUUCAGACAUAAAAGGUGGCUUCGGCUACCACUUACAGAUGGACCCGCGGCGCAUUAGCUAGUUGGUGAGGUAACGGCUCACCAAGGCGACGAUGCGUAGCCGACCUGAGAGGGUGAUCGGCCACACUGGGACUGAGACACGGCCCAGACUCCUACGGGAGGCAGCAGUAGGGAAUCUUCCGCAAUGGACGAAAGUCUGACGGAGCAACGCCGCGUGAGUGAUGAAGGUUUUCGGAUCGUAAAGCUCUGUUGUUAGGGAAGAACAAGUGCCGUUCAAAUAGGGCGGCACCUUGACGGUACCUAACCAGAAAGCCACGGCUAACUACGUGCCAGCAGCCGCGGUAAUACGUAGGUGGCAAGCGUUGUCCGGAAUUAUUGGGCGUAAAGGGCUCGCAGGCGGUUUCUUAAGUCUGAUGUGAAAGCCCCCGGCUCAACCGGGGAGGGUCAUUGGAAACUGGGGAACUUGAGUGCAGAAGAGGAGAGUGGAAUUCCACGUGUAGCGGUGAAAAUGCGUAGAGAUGUGGAGGAACACCAGUGGCGAAGGCGACUCUCUGGUCUGUAACUGACCGCUGAGGAGCGAAAGCGUGGGGAGCCGAACAGGAAUUAGAUACCCCUGUUAGUCCCACGCCGUAAACGAUGAGUGCUAAGUGUUAGGGGGUUUCCCGCCCCUUAGUGCUGCAGCUUAACGCAUUAAGCACUCCCGACCUUGGGGAA
rnacentral:rRNA from 1 species